UGAAUACGAGACGCUAAGGCGUUGAAGUAGUGUAUGUCAUACUUCCAAGAAAAGCUUGCACUGUCAUAGAUAAAAAACUCCUGUACCAUAACCGACACAGGUGGGUAGGUAGAGUAUACUAAGGGGCGCGAGAUAACUCUCUCUAAGGAACUCGGCAAAAUAACUCCGUAACUUCGGGAGAAGGAGUGCCUUAUUUAUAAGGCUGCAAUAACAAGAUCCAAGCAACUGUUUAUCAAAAACACAGGUCUCCGCUAAGUCGUAAGACGAUGUAUGGGGGCUGACGCCUGCCCAGUGCCAGAAGGUUAAAGAAGUUGGUUAGCAAUAGCGAAGCUGAUAACUGAAGCCCCGGUGAACGGCGGCCGUAACAAUAACGGUCCUAAGGUAGCGAAAUUCCUUGUCGGGUAAGUUCCGACCCGCACGAAAGGCGUAAUGAUUUGGAUACUGUCUCGGAGAGGGGCUCGGUGAAAUAGACUUGUCUGUGAAGAUGCGGACUACCUGCGCCAGGACAGAAAGACCCUAUGAAGCUUUACUGUAACUUGAAAUUGAAAUUGGACUUUAUUCGCGCAGUAUAGGUGGGAGGCGUUGAUUGUAAUCUUGCGGGAUUAUUGGAGCCAUCAGUGAGAUACCACCCUUGUAAUGUUAGAUUUCUAACUUUGAAUCAUUAUCUGGUCAAAGAACAGUUUCAGGCGGGCAGUUUGACUGGGGCGGUCGCCUCCUAAACGGUAACGGAGGCGUACAAAGGUUUCCUCUGAACGGUUAGAAAUCGUAUCUAGAGUGUAAAGGCAUAAGGAAGCUUGACUGUGAGACCUACAAGUCGAGCAGGGACGAAAGUCGGUCUUAGUGAUCUGACGGUACUGAGUGGAAAGGCCGUCACUCAACGGAUAAAAGUUACUCUAGGAUAACAGGCUGAUCUCCCCCAAGAGUUCACAUCGACGGGGAGGUUUGGCACCUCGAUGUCGGCUCAUCGCAUCCUGGGGCGGUAGUACGUCCCAAGGGUUGGGCUGUUCGCCCAUGAAAGCGGUACGCGAGCUGGGUUCAGAACGUCGUGAGACAGUUCGAUCCAUAUCCGGUGUAGGCGUUAGAAUAUUGAGAGGAGCCUUCUUUAGUACGAGAGGACCGAGAAGGACAUACCUCUGGUGUACCAGUUAUCGUGCCAACGGUAAACGCUGGGUAGCUAUGUAUGGAGUGGAUAACCGCUGAAAGCAUCUAAGUGGGAAGCCCACCUCAAGAUAAGUA
rnacentral:rRNA from 1 species